UCAAAUGGGAUAGCUCAGUUGGUAGAGCAUGAGACUCUUAAUCUAAGGUUGUGGGUUUGAGCCCCAUGUUGGAUGAA